rnacentral:lncRNA from 1 species
CUAGUUGAAUCUCCAUAUUAAAGCAGUUUGAUAUAUAUGUUUGUGUUCCAUUAUAGCAAUAACGUAUAUAUUUUAUUUAGUUCCAAGAAAAAUAACAUUGGUACCUUCUUUUGCAGUUCAAGUGGUCAUGAGGAGAGAGUGCUAAAAAAUCUUAGCCUCAAGAGGAAAAAGAAGAUCUUCAAAAAGUUAAACAUGAAAUUACCACAUGACCCAGCAAUUCUACUUACAAGCCCUUUUCCUCUAGUGGCAAGCGGAAUGCUGGCAGUUUCAGGGAUACAGCCUACUUUCUCUGCUACCCCAAAGAAGACAGAUGUCCCUCCAGCAAAAUCUAAAACAAGCUCGAAUUUGCUCUGACUGGGCCAUGUGCUCAUUCUGGACCAAUCAGGAAGUCAGAGAACCAAGAGACCUGGACCCAAUCCAGCUGUGAGAAUAUGAAGUCCUUCUGUGUUUUCAAGAAGAAGAAUUUGAUGAGCUUCUAGAUAUGUGCAACAUAUCUCCUGCUAUUAUUUUUCAAAAAUAAUAAAAAGGAUCUAAAUAUGUAGCCUGGAAAAUACUUGUUAAAGAUUAAUUAAUUUCAAAGAUGAGCCCUCUUUACCCCUACCCAUUGUCAAUGAAAUAAUGUCAUUCUCUUUCAAGUUCC